GAUGAACGCUGGCGGCGUGCCUAAUACAUGCAAGUCGAGCGAACGGACGAGAAGCUUGCUUCUCUGAUGUUAGCGGCGGGCGGGUGAGUAACACGUGGAUAAUCUACCUAUAAGACUGGGAUAACUUGGGGAAACCGGAGCUUAUACUGGAUAAUAUUUUGAACCACAUUGGUCAAAAGUGAAAGACGGUCUUGCUGUCACUUAUAGAUGGAUCCGCGCUUCAUUAUCUAGUUGGUAAGGUAACGGCUUAUCAAGGCGACGAAGCAUGGCAGAACUGAGAGGGUGAGUGGCCACCCUGGGACUGAGACCCGCUACAGACGCCUACGGGAGGCAGCCGUAGGGAAACUUCCGCAAUGGGCGAAAGACUGACGGAGCAACGCCGAGUGAGUGAUGAAGGACUUCGGAUCGUAAAACUCUGUUAUCAGGGAAGAACAUACGUGUAAGUAACUGUGAACAUCUUGAAGGUAACUAAUCAGAAAGCCACGGCUAACUACGGG
rnacentral:rRNA from 1 species